ensembl:snRNA U6 U6 spliceosomal RNA
GUUCUUGCUUCGGCAGCACAUAUACUAAAAUUGGAGCGAUACAGAGAAGAUUAGCAUGGCUGUUGUGCAAGAAUGACACACAAAAAACACUGAGCCUAUGUCAACUUGC